CCUACGGGAGGCAGCAGUGAGGAAUAUUGGUCAAUGGGCGCGAGCCUGAACCAGCAAAGUAGCGUGAAGGAUGACUGCCCUACGGGUUGUAACCUUCUUUUAUAACGGAAUAAAGUGAGGCACGUGUGCCUUUUUGUAUGUACUUUAUGAAUAAGGAUCGGCUAACUCCGUGCCAGCAGCCGCGGUAAUACGGAGGUUCCGAGCGUUAUCCGGAUUUAUUGGGUUUAAAGGGAGAGUAGAUGGGUUGUUAAGUCAGUUGUGAAAGUUUGCGGCUCAACCGUACGAUUGCAGUUGAUACUGGCAGACUUGAGUACAGGUGAGGUAGGCGGAAUUCGUGGUGUAGCGGUGAAAUGCGUAGAUAUCACGAAGAACUCCGGUUGCGAAGGCAGCUUACUAAACUGCCACUGACAUUGAUGCUCGAAAGUGUGGGUAUCAAACAGGAUGAGAUACCCGAGUAGUC
rnacentral:rRNA from 1 species